rnacentral:rRNA from 1 species
GAUGCCUUGGCACUAGGAGCCGAUGAAGGACGUGAUAAGCUGCGAUAAGCUUCGGGGAGUUGCACGUAAACUUUGAUCCGAAGAUUUCCGAAUGAGGAAACUCACUUAGAGUAAUGUCUAAGUAUCAUUAAGUGAAUACAUAGCUUAAUGAGGGGAACUCAGGGAACUGAAACAUCUAAGUACCUGAAGGAAGAGAAAGAAAUUCGAUUCCGUAAGUAGCGGCGAGCGAACGCGGAUUAGCCCAAACCAAUAAAGUUUUCUUUAUUGGGGUUGCGGACAUAUCAUAACGAAGAGGUAUCGUAAUUGAAGAGGUUUGGAAAGACCCACCACAGAAGGUAAUAGUCCUGUAUGUUAAACGAGAAGACUUCAGAUAUGAUCCAGAGUACCACGGGACACGUGAAACCCUGUGGGAAGCAGGAGGGACCACCCUCCAAGGCUAAAUACUACCUAGUGACCGAUAGCGUAUAGUACCGUGAGGGAAAGGUGAAAAGAACCCCGGGAGGGGAGUGAAAUAGAACCUGAAACCCUGCACUUACAAGCUGUGGAAGCACAUUUCUUGUGUGACCGCGUACUUUUUGUAGAACGGGCCAACGAGUUACGUUAAGUAGCAAGGUUAAGCACUUAAGGUGCGGAGCCGUAGCGAAAGCGAGUUUUAACUGAGCGUUCAGUUACUUGACGUAGACCCGAAACCGGGCGACCUACCCAUGAGCAGGAUGAAGCGAAAGUAAAAUUUCGUGGAGGUCCGAACCCACGAGCGUUGAAAAGCUCGGGGAUGACUUGUGGGUAGCGGUGAAAUUCCAAUCGAGCCCGGAGAUAGCUGGUUCUCCCCGAAAUAGCUUUAGGGCUAGCCUCAAGGUGAGAGAUACGGAGGUAGAGCACUGAAUGUCCUAGGGGGUAUUGCACCUACCGAAGACUAUCAAACUCCGAAUGCCGUCAUCUUAUACUUGGGAGUCAGACUGUGGGUGAUAAGAUUCAUAGUCGAAAGGGCAACAGCCCAGAUCGUCAGCUAAGGUCCCUAAAUGUAAGUUAAGUGGUAAAGGAUGUGGGAUUGCACAGACAACCAGGAUGUUGGCUUAGAAGCAGCCACUCAUUCAAAGAGUGCGUAAUAGCUCACUGGUCGAGUGAUCCUGCGCCGAAGAUUUCCGGGGCUAAAACUUACUACCGAAGCUACGGCAUCAGUAAUGAUGGGUAGGGGAGCUUCCCAUACGGGUUGAAGCAUGACCGUAAGGACAUGUGGACAGUAUGGGAGUGAGAAUGUUGGCAUGAGUAGCGAGAUGUGGGUGAGAAUCCCACAGGCCGUAAACCCAAGGUUUCCAGGGGAAGGUUCGUCCGCCCUGGGUUAGUCGGGACCUAAGCUGAGGCCGAAAGGCGUAGGUGAUGGACAACAGGUUGAUAUUCCUGUACUACCGAUAACCGUUUGAGAGAAGGGAUGACACAGUAGGAUAAGCUAAGCACACUGUUGGUUAUGUGUGCCCAAGCAUUGAGGCAGUCAAAGUAGGCAAAUCCGCUUUGAUAAUGCUGGGAUGUGAUGGGGAGCGAAAUUUAGUAGCGAAGUAGCUGAUUUCACACUGUCAAGAAAAGUCUCUAUCGAGGUUAAAGGUACCCGUACCGCAAACCGACACAGGUGGGUGAGGAGAGUAUCCUAAGGCCAGCGAGAGAACUGUUGUUAAGGAACUCGGCAAAAUGACCCCGUAACUUAGGGAUAAGGGGUGCCACCAUCAGGUGGCCGCAGAGAAUAGGCCCAAGCGACUGUUUACCAAAAACAUAGGUUUCUGCUAAGUCGCAAGACGAUGUAUAGGAGCUGACGCCUGCCCGGUGCUGGAAGGUUAAGGGGAUCUGUUAGAGCAAUCGAAGCAGUGAACUUAAGCCCCAGUAAACGGCGGCCGUAACUAUAACGGUCCUAAGGUAGCGAAAUUCCUUGUCGGGUAAGUUCCGACCCGCACGAAAGGCGUAACGAUUUGGGCACUGUCUCAACAACAGACUCGGUGAAAUUGUAAUUCCGGUGAAGAUGCCGGAUACCUGCGACAGGACGGAAAGACCCCAUGGAGCUU